GACGAACGCUGGCGGCGUGCUUAACACAUGCAAGUCGAACGAUGAAGCCGGAGCUUGCUCUGGUGAAUUAGUGGCGAACGGGUGAGUAACACGUGAGUAACCUGCCCUUGACUCUGGGAUAACUGCUAGAAAUGGUAGCUAAUACCGGAUACGACCCUCGGAGGCAUCUCCAGGGGGUGGAAAGAAUUUCGGUCAAGGAUGGACUCGCGGCCUAUCAGCUAGUUGGUGAGGUAACGGCUCACCAAGGCGACGACGGGUAGCCGGCCUGAGAGGGUGACCGGGCACACGGGGACUGAGACACGGCCCAGACUCCUACGGGAGGCAGCAGUGGGGAAUAUUGCUCAAUGGGCGCAAGCCUGAUGCAGCAACGCCGCGUGAGGGAUGACGGCCUUCGGGUUGUAAACCUCUUUUAGUAGGGAAGAAGCGAAAGUGACGGUACCUGCAGAGAAAGCACCGGCUAACUACGUGCCAGCCGCCGCUGUAA
rnacentral:rRNA from 1 species